UAGGGAAUCUUCGGCAAUGGACGAAAGUCUGACCGAGCAACGCCGCGCGAGUGAAGAAGGUUUUCGGAUCGUAAAACUCUGUUGUUAGAGAAGAACAAGGACGUUAGUAACUGAACGUCCCCUGACGGUAUCUAACCAGAAAGCCACGGCUAACUACGUGCCAGCAGCCGCGGUAAUACGUAGGUGGCAAGCGUUGUCCGGAUUUAUUGGGCGUAAAGCGAGCGCAGGCGGUUUCUUAAGUCUGAUGUGAAAGCCCCCGGCUCAACCGGGGAGGGUCAUUGGAAACUGGGAGACUUGAGUGCAGAAGAGGAGAGUGGAAUUCCAUGUGUAGCGGUGAAAUGCGUAGAUAUAUGGAGGAACGCCAGUGGGGAGGGCGGCUCGCUGGUCUGUAACUGACGCUGAGGCUAGAAAGGGUGGGGAGCAAACAGG
rnacentral:rRNA from 1 species